UACGUAGGGGGCAAGCGUUGUCCGGAUUUAUUGGGCGUAAAGAGCGUGUAGGCGGCCAUGUAGGUCCGUUGUGAAAACUCGAGGCUCAACCUCGAGACGCCGAUGGAAACCAUGUGGCUAGAGUCCGGAAGAGGAGAGUGGAAUUCCUGGUGUAGCGGUGAAAUGCGCAGAUAUCAGGAAGAACACCCGUGGCUAAGGCGGCUCUCUAGUACGGUACUGACGCUGAGACGCGAAAGCAUGGGGAGCAAACAGG
rnacentral:rRNA from 1 species